rnacentral:rRNA from 1 species
UACGUAGGGUGCGAGCGUUAAUCGGAAUUACUGGGCGUAAAGCGUGCGCAGGCAGUUUUGUAAGCCAGGUGUGAAAUCCCCGGGCUCAACCUGGGAAUGGCAUUUGGGACUGCAAGGCUGGAGUGCGGCAGAGGAGACUGGAAUUCCUGGUGUAGCAGUGAAAUGCGUAGAUAUCAGGAGGAACACCGAUGGCGAAGGCAGGUCUCUGGGCUGACACUGACGCUGAGGAGCGAAAGCGUGGGGAGCGAACAGG